GGCAGGUUCCGCUGAGGGUCGAGGCGACCCCGAGCGGUGCUGGGGGAAAGCGACGGGAGAGGCGGGGAGAAGCUAGCGGGCACCGGGGAGAAAGGACACUCACAUUUCGGGUGUUCAGGUUUGCUGGAACCACUGAAGAAACAUGGAUUCUACUCCAGUAGAUAAUGAGGCCUCUUCAACAGAAAAUAAGACUCAGAAUCUACUCAGUUAUCCAAGAAGACUCACUGGGGAAGAGAUUGAAAAUAUCAAUCAACGAUGUAAAGAAGAAAGCUUUUGGUACAGAGGUGGCUUAUCCCCUCCUCAUUUCUGAUUUUGUCAACCCAUCUUAUAUGUAACAGCCAUCUCACUUCCUCUAUCUCUUGGAAGUAUGCUCAUUACUCAAGGAUUGAUUAGUAAAGGGAUUAUCAAGACUGCUUCUUUGAAUACCGUAGUGGUUGUUGGCGCUGUGGCCUUUUUUGUUGGGAAAAUGUUAUAUAUUGAAAAAUGUACUCAGAGUUUUAGAAGUCGUCUUGUGCCAUUCGGACCGGAACAAUACAGGAAACAUUCUCCUACAGACGAUGAAGGCAAAGCAAAUCCUCAAAUGAAAAAAACAGAUACUUCUGUUUCUUAAAACAAGCACACAUUACCAAAAUUAAUAUUUUACUCACAUAAAUGUAUCCCCACCCUAUGUGAAGACAUUGUACAGAAUUAUGAAUAUUGGAAUAAAAUGAUUGUUUUUGCGUAUUA